UCUUUCCCCUCAGGUGUGACCACGAUGGCUGUGGGAAAGCCUUUGCUGCGAGUCAUCACCUAAAAACACAUGUACGGACACACACAGGGGAGAAGCCUUUCAACUGCACCAGUGACGGCUGUGAGAAGACGUUCAGCAGCCAGUACAGCCUGAAGAGUCACGUCCGGGGCCACGACAAAGGACAACCUUUCACUGUCACCCUCACACAUCCGCUCUCUGAAGAUGCAAAUCACUCGCUGUGCCUCAGUGACCUGAGCCUCAUCUCGACAGACUCAGACCUCCGGGAGAACAUCCAUAAUGUGAGUCUGGCCUUCGCUUCAGCUUUGACAAACAGACAUCCACGCAGCCGAGGAGUUGUCGAGAGAUUCAAGAAUCUGGCAUCCAUAUUGGCAACAAGUUCAGCCGUCUCUGUUUUAGGAAUUCUGAGUUUAUUACAGGGUUCUUACG